AUUCAGUCGAAGCUGCAGAUUAAGCCUUACACCGCAACGAACUUGACAUUCGCUGCCCCGGCCUUCGGUGCACGCACCGGCACGACGUCGACCCGCCGCCUGCCGGCACCGCGCGCGUAAUGAGCGUAUGAGUGCACUCGCCCAUGGUGCCUUUGCUCGAACUGUGCAUCGGUAAGAAAUGUUGCACUUGAUAACUCAGCUUUGUUUUCUCUGGCUAUCAAGGAUGGACGACUAUCAUGGGCAGUGCCAAUCGCGAUAUCGUGGGUGUAUGGAAUUGACGUUGGCAAGGCUGACCUGUUCAUGACAUCUGUAUGACCGGAAACUUGGUUCGAUUGGACCCGCGAUUUAGCUCCAACGGGUCGAUCGUAUCGUGAGCGAGCUGUCGGUGGUUGUG
rnacentral:lncRNA from 1 species